GUAGGUGGCAAGCGUUGUCCGGAAUUAUUGGGCGUAAAGCGCGCGCAGGCGGUCCCUUAAGUCUGAUGUGAAAGCCCACGGCUCAACCGUGGAGGGUCAUUGGAAACUGGGGGACUUGAGUACAGAAGAGGAAAGUGGAAUUCCACGUGUAGCGGUGAAAUGCGUAGAGAUGUGGAGGAACACCAGUGGCGAAGGCGACUUUCUGGUCUGUAACUGACGCUGAGGCGCGAAAGCGUGGGGAGCAAACAGGGAUUAGAUACCCUGGUAGUCCACGCCGUAAACGAUGAGUGCUAAGUGUUAGAGGGUUUCCGCCCCUUUAGUGCUGCAGCUAACGCAUUAAGCACUCCGCCUGGGGAUACGGCCGCAAGGCUG
rnacentral:rRNA from 1 species